GGGUUGUGAGGUUAAGCGACUAAGCGUACACGGUGGAUGCCCUGGCAGUCAGAGGCGAUGAAGGACGUGCUAAUCUGCGAUAAGCGUCGGUAAGGUGAUAUGAACCGUUAUAACCGGCGAUUUCCGAAUGGGGAAACCCAGUGUGAUUCGUCACACUAUCAUUAACUGAAUCCAUAGGUUAAUGAGGCGAACCGGGGGAACUGAAACAUCUAAGUACCCCGAGGAAAAGAAAUCAACCGAGAUUCCCCCAGUAGCGGCGAGCGAACGGGGAGGAGCCCAGAGCCUGAAUCAGUGUGUGUGUUAGUGGAAGCGUCUGGAAAGGCGCGCGAUACAGGGUGACAGCCCCGUACACAAAAAUGCACAUGCUGUGAGCUCGAUGAGUAGGGCGGGACACGUGGUAUCCUGUCUGAAUAUGGGGGGACCAUCCUCCAAGGCUAAAUACUCCUGACUGACCGAUAGUGAACCAGUACCGUGAGGGAAAGGCGAAAAGAACCCCGGCGAGGGGAGUGAAAAAGAACCUGAAACCGUGUACGUACAAGCAGUGGGAGCACAGAGCAAUCUGUGUGACUGCGUACCUUUUGUAUAAUGGGUCAGCGACUUAUAUUCUGUAGCAAGGUUAACCGAAUAGGGGAGCCGAAGGGAAACCGAGUCUUAACUGGGCGUUAAGUUGCAGGGUAUAGACCCGAAACCCGGUGAUCUAGCCAUGGGCAGGUUGAAGGUUGGGUAACACUAACUGGAGGACCGAACCGACUAAUGUUGAAAAAUUAGCGGAUGACUUGUGGCUGGGGGUGAAAGGCCAAUCAAACCGGGAGAUAGCUGGUUCUCCCCGAAAGCUAUUUAGGUAGCGCCUCGUGAAUUCAUCUCCGGGGGUAGAGCACUGUUUCGGCAAGGGGGUCAUCCCGACUUACCAACCCGAUGCAAACUGCGAAUACCGGAGAAUGUUAUCACGGGAGACACACGGCGGGUGCUAACGUCCGUCGUGAAGAGGGAAACAACCCAGACCGCCAGCUAAGGUCCCAAAGUCAUGGUUAAGUGGGAAACGAUGUGGGAAGGCCCAGACAGCCAGGAUGUUGGCUUAGAAGCAGCCAUCAUUUAAAGAAAGCGUAAUAGCUCACUGGUCGAGUCGGCCUGCGCGGAAGAUGUAACGGGGCUAAACCAUGCACCGAAGCUGCGGCAGCGACGCUUAUGCGUUGUUGGGUAGGGGAGCGUUCUGUAAGCCUGGGGUUCCUGUCCAACGUUAAUCGGGGCAGGGUGAGUCGACCCCUAAGGCGAGGCCGAAAGGCGUAGUCGAUGGGAAACAGGUUAAUAUUCCUGUACUUGGUGUUACUGCGAAGGGGGGACGGAGAAGGCUAUGUUGGCCGGGCGACGGUUGUCCCGGUUUAAGCGUGUAGGCUGGUUUUCCAGGCAAAUCCGGAAAAUCAAGGCUGAGGCGUGAUGACGAGGCACUACGGUGCUGAAGCAACAAAUGCCCUGCUUCCAGGAAAAGCCUCUAAGCAUCAGGUAACAUCAAAUCGUACCCCAAACCGACACAGGUGGUCAGGUAGAGAAUACCAAGGCGCUUGAGAGAACUCGGGUGAAGGAACUAGGCAAAAUGGUGCCGUAACUUCGGGAGAAGGCACGCUGAUAUGUAGGUGAAGUCCCUCGCGGAUGGAGCUGAAAUCAGUCGAAGAUACCAGCUGGCUGCAACUGUUUAUUAAAAACACAGCACUGUGCAAACACGAAAGUGGACGUAUACGGUGUGACGCCUGCCCGGUGCCGGAAGGUUAAUUGAUGGGGUCAGCGCAAGCGAAGCUCUUGAUCGAAGCCCCGGUAAACGGCGGCCGUAACUAUAACGGUCCUAAGGUAGCGAAAUUCCUUGUCGGGUAAGUUCCGACCUGCACGAAUGGCGUAAUGAUGGCCAGGCUGUCUCCACCCGAGACUCAGUGAAAUUGAACUCGCUGUGAAGAUGCAGUGUACCCGCGGCAAGACGGAAAGACCCCGUGAACCUUUACUAUAGCUUGACACUGAACAUUGAGCCUUGAUGUGUAGGAUAGGUGGGAGGCUUUGAAGUGUGGACGCCAGUCUGCAUGGAGCCGACCUUGAAAUACCACCCUUUAAUGUUUGAUGUUCUAACGUUGACCCGUGAUCCGGGUUGCGGACAGUGUCUGGUGGGUAGUUUGACUGGGGCGGUCUCCUCCUAAAGAGUAACGGAGGAGCACGAAGGUUGGCUAAUCCUGGUCGGACAUCAGGAGGUUAGUGCAAUGGCAUAAGCCAGCUUGACUGCGAGCGUGACGGCGCGAGCAGGUGCGAAAGCAGGUCAUAGUGAUCCGGUGGUUCUGAAUGGAAGGGCCAUCGCUCAACGGAUAAAAGGUACUCCGGGGAUAACAGGCUGAUACCGCCCAAGAGUUCAUAUCGACGGCGGUGUUUGGCACCUCGAUGUCGGCUCAUCACAUCCUGGGGCUGAAGUAGGUCCCAAGGGUAUGGCUGUUCGCCAUUUAAAGUGGUACGCGAGCUGGGUUUAGAACGUCGUGAGACAGUUCGGUCCCUAUCUGCCGUGGGCGCUGGAGAACUGAGGGGGGCUGCUCCUAGUACGAGAGGACCGGAGUGGACGCAUCACUGGUGUUCGGGUUGUCAUGCCAAUGGCACUGCCCGGUAGCUAAAUGCGGAAGAGAUAAGUGCUGAAAGCAUCUAAGCACGAAACUUGCCCCGAGAUGAGUUCUCCCUGACUCCUUGAGAGUCCUGAAGGAACGUUGAAGACGACGACGUUGAUAGGCCGGGUGUGUAAGCGCAGCGAUGCGUUGAGCUAACCGGUACUAAUGAACCGUGAGGCUUAACCUUACAACGCCGAAG
rnacentral:rRNA from 1 species